rnacentral:lncRNA from 1 species
GGCUUCCCACGCGGUGCUAGUGGUAAAGAACGCACCGGCCAAUGCAGGAGAUGAGGGUUCGAUCCCUGGGCCGGGAAGAUCCCCUGGAGCGGGGCAUGGCAACACACUUCAGUAUUCUUGCCUGGAGAAUCCCAUGGACAGAUGAUCCCUGGUGGGCUACAGCCCAUAGGGUCACAAAGAGUCAGACACGACUGAAGCGACUUAGUACACACACAUAAGGGUCUGCAUUUGUACUCCUGUCCUGGGCCUGGGAAGACUCUAUGUGCUGUGUUUCUCAAAGGUGUAUGCACGGUUCACCCGGCGCUGCGGGACACGGGACCGCGCCUCCGUCUGCUGCGCUCCCGCUGCAGAGAGGGCAAGGGGCCUGGGGACCCAGUUCUGGACAGUCUCCCCCGACAGCCUGGACCACUCAUCCUCUCCAUCUCAUAGAAGAAGGGAAGGCAACAGAGCACUUGAGAUGACUCUGAUCUGUCCAGGGUGCUGACAACUCACAAGCCAUGCUACCGAACAGGUUGGAAAGAUUUGAGGCGAAUUAUGAAAUUAGCUCCAGUGGCUUUAUGGCUCCCUGUCUCAAGAAGGGUCCAAACUCCUCCCUUACCCUGGUGAAAAUAAAGUUUAAGGCAUCAUGUCUUAGACCAAAUAGACUAGAACCCCA